rnacentral:rRNA from 1 species
CAGUCGCCGCGGUAAUACGGAGGAUCCAAGCGUUAUCCGGAUUUAUUGGGUUUAAAGGGUGCGUAGGUGGCCUGUUAAGUCAGGGGUGAAAGACGGUAGCUUAACUAUCGCAGUGCCCUUGAUACUGAUGGGCUUGAAUGAACUAGAGGUAGGCGGAAUGUGACAAGUAGCGGUGAAAUGCAUAGAUAUGUCACAGAACACCGAUUGCGAAGGCAGCUUACUAUGGUUUUAUUGACACUGAGGCACGAAAGCGUGGGGAUCAAACAGGAUUAGAUACCCCUGUAGUCCCUGUCUCUUAUAA